GACGAACGCUGGCGGCGUGCUUAACACAUGCAAGUCGAACGGAAAGGCCCUGCUUUUGUGGGGUGCUCGAGUGGCGAACGGGUGAGUAACACGUGAGUAACCUGCCCUUGACUUUGGGAUAACUUCAGGAAACUGGGGCUAAUACCGGAUAGGAGCUCCUGCUGCAUGGUGGGGGUUGGAAAGUUUCGGCGGUUGGGGAUGGCCUCGCGGCUUAUCAGCUUGUUGGUGGGGUAGUGGCUUACCAAGGCUUUGACGGGUAGCCGGCCUGAGCGGGUGACCGGCCCCAUUGGGACUGGGAUACGGCCCAGCCUCCUCCGGGGGGCAGCGGUGGGGAAUAUUGCACAAUGGGCGGAAGCCUGAUGCAGCAACGCCGCGUGCGGGAUGACGGCCUUCGGGUUGUAAACCGCUUUCGCCUGUGACGAAGCGUGAGUGACGGUAAUGGGUAAAGAAGCACCGGCUAACUACGUG
rnacentral:rRNA from 1 species